UCGUGCGAUGCAUGGAGAGGUCUUCACGUAGUCUAUGGGGCCUAAUGCAUGGUCUACGCACAUUGUUACGUGGUGCAUAGGUGAUGGAGUGGGUGCAUGCAGGCAUGGUUGGCGAGUGGGUGUGGGUGUGGGUGUGGUUGACAUGCAAGUGGGUGUGCUGGCUUCAUGUGACUGUGGUUCAAAAUGCUUGGGAUGUGACAUAGUUUUAAAAAAGAAAACAGAGAAGGAGGUGCAGAGAAUUUUGUGCGGCUAGGGUUUUAGGGUGCUAUAACC
rnacentral:lncRNA from 1 species